GACGAACGCUGGCGGCGUGCCUAAUACAUGCAAGUCGAGCGGACUAAUGGGAGCUUGCUCCCGUUAGUUAGCGGCGGACGGGUGAGUAACACGUGGGCAACCUACCUGUAAGACUGGGAUAACUUCGGGAAACCGGAGCUAAUACCGGAUGACAUAAAGGAACUCCUGUUCCUUUAUUGAAAGAUGGCCUCGGCUAUCACUUACAGAUGGGCCCGCGGCGCAUGAGCUAGUUGGUGAGGUAACGGCUCACCAAGGCGACGAUGCGGAGCCGACCUGAGAGGGUGAUCGGCCACACUGGGACUGAGACACAGCCCAGACUCCUACGGGAGGCAGCGGUAGGGAAUCUUCCGCAAUGGACGAAAGUCUGACGGAGCAACGCCGCGUGAGCGAUGAAGGCCUUCGGGUCGUAAAGCUCUGUUGUUAGGGAAGAAUAAGUGCUAGUUGAAUAAGCUGGCACCUUGACGGUACCUAACCAGAAAGCCACGGCUAACUACGUGCCAGCAGCCGCGGUAA
rnacentral:rRNA from 1 species